GAUGAACGCCGGCGGCGUGCCUAAUACAUGCGAGUCGAGCGAAUGGAUUAAGAGCUUGCUCUUAUGAAGUUAGCGGCGGACGGGUGAGUAACACGUGGGUAACCUGCCCAUAAGACUGGGAUAACUCCGGGAAACCGGGGCUAAUACCGGAUAACAUUUUGAACCGCAUGGUUCGAAAUUGAAAGGCGGCUUCGGCUGUCACUUAUGGAUGGACCCGCGUCGCAUUAGCUAGUUGGUGAGGUAACGGCUCACCAAGGCAACGAUGCGUAGCCGACCUGAGAGGGUGAUCGGCCACACUGGAACUGAGACACUGCCCAUACUCCUACGGGAGGCAGCAGGAGGGAAUCUUCCGCAAGGGACGAAAGUCUGACGGAGCAACGCCGCGUAAGUGAUGAAGGCUUUCGGGUCGUAAAACUCUGUUGUUAGGGAAGAACAAGUGCUAGUUGAAUAAGCUGGCACCUUGACGGUACCUAACCAGAAAGCCACGGCUAACUACGUGCCAGCCGCCGCAGUAA
rnacentral:rRNA from 1 species